AUCCUGUGAAAUAAAUGUUUUUAUUUGAACAGGUUCACUUAUAUGGAUUGUUUAACAUGGAUUUUGCCAUUUCCUAGUGAAUGUCCACAGGAAACACAUGCACAAAUUGGCACUAGUGUCAGUAUUUCUCCUGGAUGGAUUUGUGGUAACUAGGCAAUUGCAAUUGACUUCAUGUUCAAAACUGUUAUUUUGUUUAAAAAUCAAGUAGGCUGAAUACUGUAUGUAUGAUUCUGCAUGCUUUCAUGUGCUUGUGGGCAAAACUCUUAUUUGUCUUAAAGUUUUUACACUAGGAAAAAAAUCUAUGGGAAAUCUGGAAGAGGAUUGGGAGAUAUUUGUCACUUUGAGGCAGUUUUUAAAUAUUAUCAAGUAAAGAAUGCAUUUGGGACUUCACUUGACUAAUGAAAAGUUUAUUAACUCUCAUUUCUAGAGUUUUCUUAUUCUUUCUCAUAGUCCAGGGGCUGAAGAUCUGAUACUGAAUCUUUUGUGUCCUGAACGAUGUUUGUUAAUACCUGAAUUAUUAAGUCUGCGGCUAUUUGCUCGAUUACUCUGAUUCAACUGCUGCUUGCAGAGGCUGCAGAAGGAAGCCCAGAAGAGUGUGGCACAGCUGCGAAAUAUGACAGCAGGGACAAAUCCUCAAGCACUGCGGCUUCAGAGUAGUCUUUUAUCAACCUCAGGAGAGCUGCCUCAAGGUGAAAUCUCUGCUUGGAAACUCUGAGGAACUGCCCCCAAGAAAAGAGCCUGGCUGUGAGAGCAGUGCCCUGGGCAAAGGCGUGGAGUGGAACGCUCAAGUGGCACACAGGUACUUCAGGAUGUAAUCGCCCUUGUUGGAUUUGGACAGGAUGAAAAAGCGCCUUUUCCAUGAAUUCUGCCAAAGAGGAAGUCAAUUGUCUCUUGUUAAAACCUAGGAUAGCAGAAGUAUCUGACGUUUGGUGGGAGAUUGCUGGAAUAUGACUGAUCUGUGUUCAUGUACCUUGGAGUUGAUAAGAUGAUGCGGUGGUGACUUGAUGAAGAAACCAUGCUUGAAAACUCCACCUUCAGGGCAAAAUGGGUUUUGAGCUUCUACUAAUCAAAGAGAAAUGAAUGGCACCAUUACUCUAUGUGUUGCCGAUUAAUCUCCUAAAAGACGCUCCUUGAAAUGAAAAUUGUUGCUAAGCACUUGGUUUCUGAGCUUAAAUGACCACAAAGCACAUUCAAUUAGAGAAGAGAAACACAAAUCAAAGCAAUAAAAUACAGAACCAGGCCCUGGUUCCUUGAUGUCAUUGUUAAUGCUGACAACUGGCCAAAGCUGUCAGCAAAUGAUAGAGGUAAUGUACUGUGUUGAGAGAGGUGGCUCAGAAGAUAUCAUGAAGCUCUGUCUUAUUUAAAGUUCUUAUUUAACUUCUGGGGUCUGGUCUUACUUAGCUUCCUCAUUAGUGAACUGAAAGGCAGUAAAUGGCACCCUAAUGAAAUCUGUAGAUGGCAUUCAAUACGGACAGGCAAACACCUCAAAUGAUAGAUGAUCUUACACUGCAGAUCACGAUGCAGCAACUGGGAGAAGUCUUACAGGGUAAAUAUAAGCUAAAAGCUUAGGGUUAAAAAUACGUGAAUAUAUUUGUUCGCAACCCUACAUACAAUCAGGUUUUCUCACCACUGGUGGAUUUCUGAUCAACAGCUCAGUUUACUUUCACCCGGUGAAAGGAGUACCAAUCUCAUUCCAUUUUUUAAGCCAUAAGCCCAAUAGGAGAUGUUAAUGCUUUUAAAGAAUCCAAUGACUGAAGAAAGGACAGUCAACCUCCAACAGUCUAGUGCAAGUUCUGGGAAAGACUGUAAUACAUCAACAUCCAACUCUGUGGAGAGAAACACUUGGUUCUGAGAUCCCAUUUACUACUGACUUCAGGGGAGUAGCCUCCCCAGCUGUACCCUAGGAACAUUGCAUCGCACCUGUUUCUGAUACUGCCUUGGCAGCAAGAUAAGCUCUGUGUGCCCUGAAAGUGCAAGAACACAGCGGUGUGCAUCUUUCAGAAGCAAAAGACGAAGUGUCCUCCCUGAACUGACUGCUGACUUAUAGCUGGUGUAUGAACACAAACACCCUGAAAUAUGACCCACAAGGAAAUUCCAGUUUCUGCCUGGAGAAGCAAAUUAAAGACUGUUCCAAAAGGGGAAACCCAGAUUAAUAUUCACUUACAAACAAUUAAAAAAAUACCUGUUUGUGGCAGCCAUGAAUGUCUCCCAGGAGGAAAAAAGCCUGGAGGAGGGUCAAUGUCUGUCCUGGUUAUGGGUGACUUUCUGCAUUCUCUCCAGAGACAUCCAGCAUAUCAUUAAUGAUAAUGAUUUUCAGCUGUUCAGCUAUUCCUGCUAAUAUCAGAAAUGCUUUUAGACGAAAAAGAUUUUUAAGUUUGAGUGGGAAAUAAACUAAAAUGGCAUUGCUCAAGUCACAGGGUCAGGCUUCCUUACUGGGAACGUAUUCCUGCAGGCUAAAUAAUAUUAAUGCUUCUUGGACAUGAUCUAAAGUAAUGCUCCAUCUAGCAGAGACAUGGGCCCCUGCAUGGGCCCUAUGUUUUUCUCUCAAAGUUACCUUUCCAAGUUGCUUUCCUCUCUGGCAGCAUCUUCAUGUAUUUUAUGCCUGAUCUUUGUAUACUUCAUAUACUGGACAAGCCUGGAGGUUGCUUAAGAUUCUGCCUUUAUUUUUUCCCUUCUUUGUAAAUCAGCAUAUAGAAUUGCUGUGCUCCUUUGUUCUAUCAUAUUAUUAUUACACUAUGUUAUCAUGUUUUUUUUCCAGGAAACCUUUGGUCUACCAGGAAAGAUCUCUGAAAACCUGAUAAUACUUAUUUGCUUGAAGCAUUGGAGAGCUUCAGAUAACAUUAGUGUUUUGCCUUUCUUCCUAGAGAGACAGCUACUGCUUCACCUGGUAGUUGGAAAUUCCCAAGUUGUCUGCAUUUACUGUCCAUAAGAGUAAAUGUACAACAAGAUCUGUAGAGACCCACUCUGUCCAUCCUUUUUUUAAGACAUCACGUCAAGUGGGGCAAGAAGCUUUUCCUACUGCUAGAGUAAACUAACCAAUGCUAAUUGCUUCUAUUCCUUGUCACCACUCACCGGGAACCUCACCAGCCACAAGCUGAAUCAGGGACUGUAGGUGAGGCAGCUAUGGAGUGGUGAGAUGCACACAAACCCUGGCAACAGGACAGAGGUAUUUAAUGAUCCACCUUAAUUGCAAGCAAUUUUGAAUAGCACUGAUGGCCUUUUGCUUCACUUGACAGAAGUUGGUAAAGUCCACAUUUUUGCAGUGCUUCUGAGCAAAGAUAGAUUGGCAGUAGUUUGUUAAAUAAUUAAAGAUUGUUCUCAAACAACCUUUAUGAAUAAACUGCACAAGAAGUCUGCUCCUUAACUGUUAUGCUGUUACAUUUCUUGGCAUUAUUUCAUAAACCUCAAGUGCUCUGUUUCAGAACCCCUACUUGCUCCCUUAUUGUUCCCAAGGCUUUGUGGCUUCAGAACCACAACGUCCCUCAAUGAAAGGGUGGUUUUGGUGUCAGGGUAUCUUUGUUAACAGAACCAGCUUAGUAAAAAUCUACCUGCGAAGUGCAAUGAAGUGUAAGAGCUGUGUAAAAGUGUGAGAGUAGAGAAAAUGUUGAAUUGAUACAUUUCUCAUGGUAAAACAUUUCUGGCAUUUCUCCAGUGCUAGAAAACAGUUUAAGAUAGAGCUGUUUGCAGGAACUAAUAAGAACAUUUUCAUAUGAACCACUAGAGCACCGUACAGUGUAAUGUAUACAAACACUUUAUGCACUGGGCAAGAUUAAGGGCUGGCAAAUCAGGAGAUUUCCAUUAAAAUCUUUUCAAUAAUUCUGGUUUACUCUAUGAAAGGAUCCAGCCUACUUUUAACCCAAACAAUCAAAUGCCAGCUAAUACUUCCAAACUACUUUCCAGCUGACACAGGAAACCUCAUCUUGAUAAAGAUGCAG